rnacentral:ncRNA from 1 species
AUAUUCUUUCGGGGCUGGGUGAAAUUCCCAACCGGCAGUAAAAUAUAAGCCUGCGACCCGUAUCAUUGAUUUGAUAUGGCUGAUCUAGUGAGAAUCUAGAGCCGACAGUUAAAGUCUGGAUGGGAGGAAGAAUAG